AAGGAUUCCCUAGUAACGGCGAGUGAAGAGGGAAGAGCCCAAGAUUGAAAGCUGGCGUCUUUGGCGUCCGCAUUGUAAUCUCAAGAAGCAUUUUCCGCUUCGGACCAAGCCUAAGUCCCUUGGAAAAGGGCAUCGUAGAGGGUGAGAAUCCCGUACAUGGCUUGGAGCGCCCGAGGCUUUGUGAUAUGCAUUCUAAGAGUCGAGUUGUUUGGGAAUGCAGCUCAAAAUGGGUGGUAAAUGCCAUCUAAGGCUAAAUAUUGGGGAGAGACCGAUAGCGAACAAGUACCGUGAGGGAAAGAUGAAAAGAACUUUGAAAAGAGAGUUAAACAGUACGUGAAAUUGCCAAAAGGGAAGGGUAGGAGGUCAGAGAUGCGGCGUGGAAUUCAGCCUUGCUUUUGCUUGGUCUACUUUCCUCAUUGCAGGCCAACGUCGGUUUUGGGCACUGGAGAAUGGUGGGAGGAAUGUGGCACCCCUCGGGGUGUGUUAUAGCCUCCUACUGGAUACAGCGACCGGGACCGAGGAACGCAGCGUACUCGAAAGAGCGGGCCUUCGGCACCUUUACGCUUAGGGCGUUGGCAUAAUGCCCUCU
rnacentral:rRNA from 1 species